AAAGUUGAAACUGUACAUAAAAACAAACACGAUGAGGUGAAAGCCAAGCUUACUCUCAACUACCGCAAGAGCUUUCGAUUCUUCGGGUUUCUCCUCCGUUGAUGGUGGAGACACGGUUUUUUCUUCAGAUUCAGCUUUUGGAGCCUCCAAUGUCGGCGGUGGAGCCACUGUGGUUUCAGCUUCAGCUUGCUUCUUCCCCUCCUCGGCCAUAAUUUAGAUUGAUCGGUGCUUGUGGAAAACAAACGAAAAUUUCGUUAGGA